GACGAACGCUGGCGGCGUGCCUAACACAUGCAAGUCGUGCGAGGCCGGGCCUUCGGGUCCGAGCCGAGCGGCGGACGGGUGAGUAACACGUGAGCAACCUGCCCCGGUGCGGGGGAUAACCCGGGGAAACUCGGGCUAAUACCGCAUGGGCCUCUGGCCCGCAUGGGCUGGGGGGGAAAGGCGGCCUCUCAUGGAAGCCGCCGUGCCGGGAGGGGCUCGCGGCCUAUCAGCUUGUUGGUGGGGUGACGGCCCACCAAGGCGACGACGGGUAGGGGGU
rnacentral:rRNA from 1 species